GCCAUGGUAGCUCAGUUGGUACAGCACCUGACUUGUAAUUUAAAUUGCAGGUUUGAUACAUGCCCAAGCUAGCU